rnacentral:rRNA from 1 species
CAACUCGCCUACAUGAAGUCGGAAUUGCUAGUAAUCGCGGAUCAGCAUGCCGCGGUGAAUACGUUCCCGGGCCUUGUAUACACCGCCCGUCACACCAUGGGAGUCGGUAACACCCGAAGCCUGUAGUCUAACCGCAAGGAGGACGCAGUCGAAGGUGGGAUUGGUGACUGGGGUGAAGUCGUAACAAGGUACC